UUUUAUGGAGAGUUUGAUCCUGGCUCAGAGUGAACGCUGGCGGCGUGCCUAAUACAUGCAAGUCGAACGAUGAAGCUUCUAGCUUGCUAGAGUGCUGAUUAGUGGCGCACGGGUGAGUAACGCAUAGGUUAUGUGCCUCUUAGUUUGGGAUAGCCAUUGGAAACGAUGAUUAAUACCAGAUACUCCCUAUGGGGGAAAGAUUUAUCGCUAAGAGAUCAGCCUAUGUCCUAUCAGCUUGUUGGUAAGGUAAUGGCUUACCAAGGCUAUGACGGGUAUCCGGCCUGAGAGGGUGAACGGACACACUGGAACUGAGACACGGUCCAGACUCCUACGGGAGGCAGCAGUAGGGAAUAUUGCUCAAUGGGGGAAACCCUGAAGCAGCAACGCCGCGUGGAGGAUGAAGGUUUUAGGAUUGUAAACUCCUUUUGUUAGAGAAGAU
rnacentral:rRNA from 1 species